UUUCCGUAGGUGAACCUGCGGAAGGAUCAUUAAAGUUAUAGUCCCCCGGCCCCUCCGGGCUGGGGUCUUCUAUACCACCCUUUGUUUAUUACACCUUUGUCGCUUUGGCAGGCCUGCCCUCGGGCUGCUGGCUCCGGCCGGCUCGUGCCUGCCAGAGGACCUAAACUCUGUUUGUAUAUGAAGUCUGAGUACUAUAUAAUAGUUAAAACUUUCAACAACGGAUCUCUUGGUUCUG
rnacentral:misc_RNA from 1 species